ensembl:lncRNA
AGAGAGGUGUUUCUGCCACAGGCUUGAUCCCCCCCACCAUGACAGCAUCAAGAGGGAUUGGGGCUUAGCACGUGGCUCAGAGGGAGGGAGUCCUGCAGGUCACGUGCCUGGCAAUUAAGGCCAGCUCCAGGCAGCAGUGCCAAGAGCGAGAAGGGCUGUUGGGAAACCGGGGAGAGUGCAAGGCUCCUGUUCAGCCCUAGGCCCGGCCCCGACUCUGUGGACUGUGAGCCCCUUCCUUCCCUGGCCUGGAUCUCAGUCUUCUCUUCUGUAAAGUGGGCUCAUACUGCCUACCUGAGUGGAAUCAGGUGAUGCUGAAACUCCUGAAGGAAUCGUGUCAUCUUGAGCUGCUCAAGUUUAUUUCCACUAAAAAUACACCCUGAAACUGGGGCACAAUGAAGGAUUUCUGACAAAUGGGGAAGAGGAAUAAAUAAAAACUCUGGGGCCUUCUGAUUCUUCACUGAGUCACCUCCAAAUACUCACCAGUGAGCUGAGCUUGGACUCUCUCCACUCGUCGCUGUCAUCAGUAAAAGCUCAGGCAGUCCGUGUGGUCUGGGAGCUUAAAAGUCUCGAAGCUUGUGAGUCAUUGUUAGGAGAGGCCCCUGAUGGAACUGAACCCUGCAUCUACCAGGGAGGAAACAGAAGAACUAGAGGGGAAGUGACUUGGUCCUGCACCAUUCGGAUGAGUGUGCUGGAGAGGGACUUAGAGCCUGCACCCGGCCUCCUCACUUCACCACCCCAACUCCCCAGUCUUCCCAAGCCCCCCGCCUGCACCCAGCACCUGUGUCUGCCGUUCCUGUGGCACAUCUUAAGGCAGCCUAGGCAUGCCAGGGGGCGGUCAAUGAGAGAAUCCUCAGUUAGCAAUAAAGAAUGCUUUCAGCUUCAGGUUACAGAAAACCAGAUCAAUGGCAGCUCAACUGUAAGGACAUUAGUGUUGACUCAUUGAGACUAGGGAGGGAGGUAGCCCCAGGCUGAGACCACUGACUCAGCCAUGUCAAGAAGGAUCCAAGUUCCCCACUCUGCCAUUCUGGGGAUUUUAACUCUUUACCCUCAAGCUUAUUGCCUCAUAUCACAAAAUGGUUGCCACGGCUCUGGAUAUCAAGUCCUUAUAAAUAGUAUGCAAAGCUAAAAGGAGUUACCUAAAAAAAAAAAAGUUUCCUUCUCUGCCUUCUCCUUGGGUAGCUCUCUCUCUUCUGUGCAUACGUAUGUGCCCAGUCAAAUCCAACUCUUUGUGACCCCAUGAACUAUAGCCCCCCAGGCUCCUCUAUCCAUGGGAUUUUUCAGGCAAGAAUACUGGAGUGGGUUGCCAUUCCUCUGCCAGGGGAUUUUCCCAACCCAGGGAUCAAAUUCAAGUCUCCUGCACUGGCAGGCAGAUUCUUUACCACUGAGCCACCUGGGAAGCCCCUCUCCUAUGCAGGAAGGAAAAUGUUACUUACACUUCAUUGACCAGAAUUAGGUCCUACACCAACCAUUGGCAAAGGGAAAUGACAUCAUCAGGCUUGGUUUAGACCAAUCAGGAUUCACCUCUAGGGUGAGAGAAGCCGCUUGAGAGUCCCUUGAACAGCAAGGAGGUCAAACCAAUCAAUCCUAAAGGAAAUCAACCCUGAACAUUCAUUGGAAGGACUGAUGCUGAAGUUCCAAUACUUUGGCCACUUGAUGCAAAGAGGCCAACUCAUUGGAAAAGACCCUGAUGCUGGGAGAGAUGAAGGCAGGAGGAGAAGAUGACAGAGGAUGAGAUGGUUAGAGAACAUCACCAACUCAAUGGACAUGAAUUUGAGCAAAUUCUUGGAGAUAGUGAAGGACAGGGAAGCCUGGAGUGCUGCAGUCCAUGGGGUCACAAAGAGUCAGACACGAAUUAGCGACUGAACAACAACUGGGUCUGGACAUACCACAGUGCCCAAACAGCCAGUUCUCUCUGCAGCCCUUCAUCUGUGUAGUGGGGACAAGUCAUACCCACCACCUGUGUUGCUCAUGAGGAU